CCCUGCUCCCGGCCCGCGCCCCGCCCCUCACCCCCGCCAAUAGUAACAGGCGCUGCGCGCGCUUCCCCAAUUGGCUGCGCAAGUCGACGGGUGGGCGGGGCGGCCGUUGCCAGAGAAGCCCUUGCCGGUUGCUAUUGCCGCUAUUCUUCCGCUCGCAUCGUGCCGGGCACUCUUCCGCCGUAAGCAGUUCUUGGAUUUCUCCGGCUUCCCGCCUCGCAUCCUUGUUUUCCUGCCUAGUCUUGACCCACUGCCCUGCCCCUGUGUCCCGCUUCCUCCUAGCUGACUCAGGGCUGUAAAGCACAGCUUAUGUGGAGAAGUUGUUGUAGAAACCACCUAUAAAUCUGUUUACAGAAUUUAUGGCGGAGCCUCUAAAUAAUGGAAGUCAUUCAGAAGAACUCUUUUCCCAUCUUAAAUGUAGAUCAGAGAAAGAAGAUUUACCUUGUACCAGUGAAAGUCAUCUCUGCUGCCUGAAGCAGGACAUCCUAAAUGAAAAGAAUGAACUGGAAGCAACACUUAAGGAAGCCGAGUUGGCAGCCCAUUCUGUAGAAUUACUUUUGCCAUUAUUUAAGGAUACCAUUGAAGAGAUUAGUUUUGAAAAUGCUAAUCUUUCUGCGUCCAAUUUGAAGAAGAUUUCUGAACAGAAGGAAAUAUUAACAAAAGAAUUAGACACUUUUAAGCGUGUAAAACUAGCUUUAGAACAUCUUCUUAGAAAUACAGACUACAAACAAACGGGAGACAAUUUACCUAGCAUGUUGUUAAAGAUUCUAACUGAUAAUGGAAGUGAAAAUAGUCUAAAGAGUCUUAAGAAGAGGGUACUUGAGAAGGAAACAUAUAUCCAAGAACUUUCUUGUUUGUUUCAGAAUGAAAAGGCAAAUGCUUUGAAAGCAAACUCUUUUUCUCAAUCAGUAAAAGUAGUACAUGAUCGACUACAGUUCCAAAUUCAUAAAAAGGAAGCAGAGAAUGAUAAGCUAAAAGAAUACAUAAAGAGUUUAGAAUCCAAGAUAGCCAAAUGGAACUUGCAAGUGAGAAUGAAUAAGCACGAAGCUGUGGCGAUCAAGAAAGCAAGCAGGCAAAAAGUGAUAGCUCUAAAAAAGGCGUCUCAGAUUUACAGACAAAGGCUCGAACACUUUACAGGAGAUAUUGAAAACUUUGCUUCCAAAAUUAGAGAUCAGGAAGCCAAGUUAUCUGAAACAAUUUCAGUUUCCAAUGCCUGGAAAAGUCGUUAUGAGAAAAUCCUAAUGGAAAAAAGUGAAUUGGAAGUUCAGAUUGAAACAAUGAAAAGGCAAAUCACUAGUCUUCUGGAAGACCUGCAGAAAAUGGAAGACCAUGGAAAAAAUUCAUGUGAAGAAAUUCUUAGAAAACUUCACUCAAUUGAAUAUGAAAAUGAAACUCUAAAUCUUGAGAAUACAAAAUUAAAGACUACACUUGCUGCUUUGAAGGACAAGGUUGUUUCUGUUGAAAGUGAACUCUUAGAAUUGCAAGAAGUAGAAAAACAACAGAAAACCCUCAUGGAAGUAUACAAAACUCAGGUACAAAAGUUGCAAGAAGCAGCUGAAUUGGUGAAAAGCCGAUAUGAAAAUGUGCUACAUGAAAAUAGCCUAAUAACAAAAAACAAAAAUAAAAAGUUAGAGAAGAUUGAUAAAGAUCACAAUCUUCUGAUGAAACUUUCUCUGGAAAAGGAAAAUUAUCUUAUUCAGUUGAAGUGUGAAAAUCUUAAACAAAAAUUAGAACAGAUGGAUGCAGAAAAUAAAGAGCUUGAAAAGAAGCUGGUAAACCAAGAAGAAUGUCUCAAGCACAGCAAUCUUAAGUUUAAAGAGAAAUCUGAAGAACAUACAGCAUUGUCCAGGCAACUAGAAGCUGCUUUAGAAGAAGGAAGACAAAAGGUUUCUGAAGAAAUAGAGAAAAUGUCAUCUAGAGAGAGGGCCUUACAAAUUAAAAUAUUAGAUCUGGAAACUGAGCUUAGAAAGAAAAAUGAAGAGCAAAAUCAACUUGUUUGCAAAAUGAACAGUCUGUGGUUUCCUCAGCAUCUGCCAGCAGCCUGUUGUCUACAUCUCCUGGGUGGUAGCAAACCAAGUGGUGAAAGAUGUGAUGGUCUCACUUCUCAUGGGCCUAGGAGACGUUUACCAUCUGAUGAGUUUCUUUGAGGAACUGUUUUUGCUCCCACAUUUUUUCAGUUGGAAGCAGCAGCUCUUUGCCAACUACAAAGAUUGGAAGCCCUUCACUAGAGAACCCUCGUCAAGGUUUUCUGAGGCCAGCAGAUCCUUUGCAGCAAACAGCAAGUAAAGUUCUCUUUGGAGGGGAACACAUCAUUUCCAUUAUAUGGAACUCAGUACAGUUUGGCUUUGAAAUAACAGAUAAAGUUAUCAUCUGCAGUGGGAAAAUGGCUGAAGCAAAAUGAUAGCACACAAAAACAUGCAACAACAAUAACGAACACCACUCAGCAAGACACCGCUACACGUUGGUUGACAUGGGAGCGCCCGCAGGGCUCGAACUGGCAGAGCCCGUGCCAUGAGUGAAGAAUUACACUGUUUAGGUGAAGGAACCGCUGAGCUAGCGGCGGCCCACGUUGGUUGACAUGAACGCAGUUGUGAGACACUGAUAAACCAAGGAUAUAAACCCUUACCAAGUUGUUUGUACAGUGCUGCCAAUGUAAGUGCGUGGUGGCAAGUUCACAGACUUAAUUGUCAGACCUCAUGGAAUUGUGGUAAUUGAAAUUAAACAAACUAAGCAUUUGUCUGAAGAAGGUAUAAAAGGUACAAAAAAGUUGAGCAAAAUUGUAAUAGGGUAAAAAGCAGAAAUUGAUGAAAAAGAAAGCAAUAAAGCAAACAAAAUUUGGUAAGUAGUAUCUUAUAAAAGUCCAGUAAAAUAGAUAAAAUCUUUGGCAAGUCUGGCCAGAAAAAAAUAUAAAGAAUUGAAAUGCAAGUAUUAUGAACGGUAAAGAUUAAGAAUAUAAAUAAAAUGAGCAUACAUAACUUUGAUAUUCAAGAAAAAUCUAGAUAGGAUGGAUUGUUUAAGAUAACCAAAAUCAAUAAGAAAACAACAAAAAUAUGAAUAAACCAAUAACCACAGAAGAAAUUUAAAAGGCUUAAAAUUUACUUCCUGAGAGGCACAGAUUUUAUAGGUUUCUCUGGUGAGUUCUACAGAUCAUGAACAAAAAUGGCAUAAAAUCAAACUAUUUAGCCCAAUCUUAAAUAUGAUGAUGAAAAAUUCCAAAUAAACUGUUGAAAUGCAUCAAAUUUGAAACAUUUAAAUAUAAUAAAAUAUGUUAACAAAUUGUGAUUUAGGAGUGUUUUCCCUCUGUGAUGCAAGCAUAAUUUAAAGUAGGAAAUCCAGUAAUACAGUCAAGUACAGUAAUAGUUAAAGAGGAAAACACAAGCAUGUUAUUUCAUUAAACUUUAAUAGUAAGUUUACCAUUGCUUCCUAUUAAAAAAAAUAAUAGAAUAUAACUUGCUUAAUAUAAUAAAUAGAUUU